GUUAUAAGCAAGUAAUUAGCAUUUGCAGUCAGAUCAAAGCAAGCAUUCGCAGAUGCGGGUCUACAGGCAGACCAAUUCCCUCAAACAAUGGAUCAUACACUGUAUUUAUGAUUAAAUUUUCUCGGUAUUUACACAUGCCAAUAUGUUAUAUUUAUUACUUGAUAAGAAUUUUUGUUUAUUGUGCUUAUAAGCGUUUCAAUCAUAUAUGUGCUAUGAUAAAAAUAUAUGAAAGAAAACUACAACAAAUUCCUAAAUAAAAUAUAGUUACUAGAAGAAAAGACCACAUCUUUGUACAAGGAAUCUACAGAACUCUAUACUGAUGCUGAAUGAUUGGUGGAUAGAGGAAGACACCAUGAAUCAUUGGCCGACAAUAGCGAGAAGCUGGGAGCACUUGACAUAGCUGAGGAAUCCCUGGUUCACAGCAGCGAGGAAAAGUAGGAAUGACUUGCGUACUCACUGGUUCGCAAAUCCUAGUGGUGACGCCAUACAAGAACCCCACAAAUCUAGAUUCCUCUAUCCCAUACAUCGUCUUCAUCCUGGCGAACACACGAGCUGUUAAUAGACUAUCAGAUCCUGCUUGAUGAGACCCUCCAACUCGCUUGACUCCUAGAAUCUUAGCCAAUUUCUCCAAUCCAAGCUCACCCCUGUGCAGGUCAUCGUAGAAUCGUGCCAUGUACUUGACAUCCAACACACAGCACCCAAAUACCGUGGCAAUAAUCUCAGUGAAAUCCAACAUAGAUACGGGCAGUGGUUUCUUGGUAACCAGCUUCACCAUGUAGGCCAAGUCAUAUAGCCCAUGAAAAGUUAGCCACUUCAAGUCUCUAUGUCUGCUUAAAACAUGAGUGAACAUGUUUGAGAAAAACAGCUGGUCGAUCCCAUUAAUCCUCAGCUCCUCAAAAUCAAUUCCACUUUCCUUUAGAAACUCAAUGGACUUAGGAUCAUAAAAAACCUCCGUUUCUAUCAAGAACUUGAAAUUAAACUCCCAAGUUCCAGCGAUAAUUCCAUUCUCAUCGGAAAGUGUAAUACCCAGUUGGAUAAUUUUCAUGUUAUCAACGUUGAACUUCAUAUCAGCGAAUGCCGAUAACUCAUCAGACCGGCGAGGGGUUUUCCGAAGAAAUCCAGGGAACUCCGAAUCCAUGGAAACCACCUUGUGGUGGUGCAACGCCGCAUCCAUUUUUUGCAGUUCUUCCAUGAGAUUACACGCCCAAACUUGCCUAAUCCCCAUCUCGCAAUGAUCGCUCAGUUCCUGAUAAAAAAG
rnacentral:misc_RNA from 1 species